CCGCCGCGGUAAUACCAUCCGCGAGUGGUCGGGGUGAUUACUGGGCCUAAAGCGCCUGUAGCCGGCCCACCAAGUCGCCCCUUAAAGUCCCGGGCGUUCAACCGGGGAACUGGGGGCGAUACUGGUGGGCUAGGGGGCGAGAGAGGCAGGGGGUACUCCCGGAGUAGGGGCGAAAUCGUUAGAUACCGGGAGGACCACCAGUGGCGGAACGCCGCCGCUAGAACGCGCCCGACGGUGAGAGGCGAAAGCCGGGGCAGCAAACGGGAUUAGAUACCCCGGUAAUCCCGGCUGUAGACGAUGCGGGCUAGGUGUCGAGUAGGCUUAGAGACUACUCGGUGCCGCAGGGAAGCCGCUAAGCCCGCCGCAUGGGGAGUACGGUCGCAAGACUGAAACUUAUAGGAAUUGGCGGGGGAGCACCACAAGGGGUGUAAGCUACAGCUCAAUUGGAGUCAACGCCUGGAAUCUUACCGGGGGAGACCGCAGUAUGACGGCCAGGCUCACGACCUUGCCUGACUCGCGGAGAGGAGGUGUAGGGCCGUCGCCAGCUCGUGUUGUGAAAUGUCCGGUUAAGAAUGGCAACGAGCGAGGCGCCCAACCCUAGUUGGUAUUCUGGCCUCCGGUCCAGAGCCACACUAGGGGGACUGCCGGCGUAAGCCGGAGGUCGGAGCCGGGGACGGCAGGUCAGCAUGCCCCGAAACUCCCGGGCCGCACGCGGGUUACAAUAGCAGGGACAAGGGGAUGCUACCUAGGAAGGGGGAACCAAUCGGUGAACCCUGCCGCAGUUCGGAUCGAGGGCUGAAGAAAGCCAUCGUGAACGAGGAAU
rnacentral:rRNA from 1 species